CUUUUCUUUCUUUUUUUUUUUUUCUUUUUGUAUUCGAGACAAAGUCUUGCUCUGUCACCCAGGCUGGAGUACAGUGUUGCAAACAUAGUACACUGCAGCCUCAGCCUCCUGGGCUCAAGCAAGCUUCCAAUCUCAGCCAUCCAAUUAACUGGGAUAGAGGAGCGUGUUACCAAGUCUUGCUGAUUUUGCAUCUUUUGUAGAGAUGGGGUUGCAUUAUGUCACCCAGGCUGAACUCAAACUUUUGGGCUCAAGUGAUCCAUUCACCUUGCUCUCCCAGAGUGUUGGGAUUACAGGCAAGAGCCUUCGUACCCAAUCCCAAUAUUUCACAAUGUAAUAUUAAUUUUGAGAUAAUAGCACAUCCUGAAGGCACUUGCAUGCAAGUGCAGUUACAUGUAUUUAGGUGAUUUCAUUAUUAUGCUAACAUCAUCGAGUGUACCUACACAGACCUAGGUGAUAUAGCCUUCUACACACCUAGGUUAUAGUCUUAUAUUGUAUGGCCUGUUGCUCCUGGGCUGCAAGUCUAGACAGCAUGAUACUGCACAAAAUACUGUAGAAUUCUAACACAAUGGUACAUAUCUGUUUAUCUAUUUAAAUUUAUUUUUUAUUUUCUUGAGAUGGAGACUUACUGUCUCCCAGGCUGAAGUGCAGUGGCGUGAUCUUGGCUCACUGCAAUCUCUGCUUCUCAGGUUCGAGUGAUUCUCCCACCACAACUUCCUGAGUAGCUGGGACUAAAGUCUUGCGUCACUACGCAUGGCUGAAUUUUUAAUAGAGAUGCGGUUUCAACGUGUUGGGCUGGUCUCAAACUCCUGACCUCAAGUGAUCCACUCACCUUGGCCUCCCAAAGCGUUGGGAUUACAGGCAUGGGCCACCAUGCCUGGCCAUAUCUGUGUAUCUAAACAUGAAAAAAGGUACAGUAUUAGACAGAAAUAUUAGACACUGGGCCCUUUAUAAGGGGGAAGGAUGAGAAGAGGUUGAGAUUUGAACAAUUACCUAUUGGGUACAAUGUUUACUAUUUAGGUGAUGGGCACAUUGGAAGCCAAAACCUGACUAAUAUGCAAUAUAUCUAAGUAACAAGCCUGCUGAUAGAUCACCUGAAUUCAGAAAUUAAACAUAUAAAUGUAUAAAUAGCUGGGCACAGAGGUUCAUGCCUGUAAUCCCAGCACUCUGGGAGGCAGAGAUGAUAGGCAGAUCACUGAGGUCAGGAGUUCGAGACCGGCAUGGCCAACAUGACGAAACCCCAUCUCUACUAAAAUACAAAAUAUUAGCUGGUGGUAGUGGACACCUGUAAUUCCAGAUACUUGGAAGGCUGAAGCAAAAGAAUCACUUGAAUCCAGGAGGCAGAGGUUGCCGUGAGCUGAGAUCACACUACUGCACUCCAGCCUGGAUGACAGAGCAAGACUCGAUCUCAAAAUACAUACAUACAUACACACAUACAUGCAUAUAUGUAUAAAUAAAUAACAACAACAAAAAGGAAAGGUACAGUAUUAUAAUAUUAAGGAACCACCAUCAUACAUGUGGCCCAUCAUUACUGAAAUGCCAUUAUGCGAUGCCUUACUUUCCUUGUUAUUUUGUAAUACAUGUAUAUAUCCUAAUUGUUUUUUUCUGUUAAUAUUUAAGGCAUUUGCUUUAGUGUGUUGGGGCUGACAUAGCAAAAUAUCACAGACUGAGUGGUUUAAACGAAGGAAAUGUAUUUGCCCACAGCAUCGGAGACUACAAGUCCAAGAUCAGUGUCGGAAGAUGUAGUUUCUUCUGAAAUCUUUUUUUUCUUGUCUGGCAGAUGACCUCCUUAUCUCGGUGAUUUCACAUGGUGUUUCUACCGGUGUCUCCUGGGUGUCCACAUUUUGUUUUCUUUUAAGGGUGCCAGUCAGUUUGAAUUGGGCCCCACUGUAAGUCUCACCUCCUUUUAUUGAUGCCCAGGCUAGAAUGUCAUGGCAUGAUCUUGGCUCACUGCAACCUCCACCUCCCAUGUUCACGUGAUUCUCCUGCCUCAGAUUCCUGAGUAGCUGGGAAUACAGGGGUACACCACCAUGCCUGGAUAAUUUUUGUAUUUUUACUAGAGAUGGGGUUUCAUCAUGUUGGCUAGGCUGGUCUCAAACUCCUGAUUUCAGGUGAUCUGCCCACCUUGGCCUCCCAAAGGGCUUGGAUUACAGGUGUGAGGCACCAUGCCUAGCCCAGUCUCACUUUUUAAUCACAGUAAUGAAGGCUUUAUCUCAGUUAAGGUCACAUUCUGAGGUACUGGGUGUUAGGGCUUUAACAUAAAAAUUUUUUGAUUGCGGGGGAGACAAUUCACAUUUGAUAGAUAUCAACCUUGACUUACCUUCCAGAUCAUGGUGAUUUGCCUAUAGAAUAGCCAGCCCCCUUGGGGGUAAGUUCCAAGACCCACAGUGGAUGUCUGAAAUGAUGCAUAAUACAGAGCCUGAUAUAUACUAUGCUUUUUCUUUCCUUUCCUUUUAUGAGACAGAGUCUCAUUCUGUCGCCCAGGCCUGAGUGCAGUGGCACAAUCUCAGCUUACUAAAACUUCUGCUCCUUGGGUUCAAGCAAAUCUCCUGCCUCAGCCUACUGAAUAGCUGGGAUUACAGGCAUAUGCUACCAUGCCUGGCUAAUUUUGUUUUUGUAUAGUUAGUAGAGAUGAACCUUCAUCAUGUUAGCCAGGAUGUUCUCCAUCUCCUGACCUUCUGAUCCACCUUCCUUGGCCUCCUAAAGUGCUGGGAUUACAGGUGAACAUUAUAGCACUGAUUGCCAAGGGAGACACAGUUUCUAAAAAAGAUUUCCAGAUGUUUAAAAGCAAGACAACGAGUGAGUUGAUUAGCAAUGGCAUCCAGAUAUAUCAGUUCCCAACAGAUGAACAAACUACUGUUCAAGUGAACUCCAAUUAAUGCUGCAAUGCAAUGAUGCAAUCUUGGCUCACUGCAACCUCUGCCUCCCAGGUUCAAGCAAUCCUCCUGCCUCAGCCUCCUGAGUAGCUGGGAUUACAAGCGUGACACCACACCUGGCUAAUUUUUGUAUUUUUAAUAGAGAAAGGGUUUCACCAUGUUAGUCAGGCUUGUCUUGAACCCCUGACCUCAGGUGAUCUAUCUGCCUUGGAAUCCCAAACUGCUGGGAUUACAGGCAUGUGCCACUGUGCCCGGCAAUUAAUUUUUGUGUGUGUUGUAAGAACACUUAAAAUCUACUCUCUCACCAAUUUUCAAGUAUAUAAUGUUACUAACUGUGGUCACCAUCAUGUGUAGUAAGGAGUUAAAUUUGUAAUUGUGACCUAUCUACUAUGGUUUAGGAACUUAAAAAAAAAAAAAAGAAAAAAAAAUAACACCUUUCAUUUUUUGCCUUUUUAAAAAAUAAAAUGUAUAGUAAUAGAGAUGGGUCUCACUAAGUUUCCCAGGCUAGCUUUGAACUCCUGAGGUCAAGUGAUCUUGGCCCACGGCCAUACACCACACAACGAGGCUGGCGAUGUCGCAGUAGAUGGGCUCCCGCUCCAUCUCGGUGAUCACCAGGCCCGUGUGCACAGGAAGCUUCUUCAGGAAACGGCCCUCCACGUGCCAGCAGCGGGUGGUGGGCGGUGGCCAGGCACAACCCCCCACGCCAGUGGCGAUGUUGAAGGCGGUUCCUGCCUAUUGCCAGGGGCUUGCAGAGCUUAAAGCCAAGCAGCGCUAGGACCGCGGCAGAGGCAGCGCGGCAGCUGCGCCGCCAGAUCCAGUUGCUGGUGUGGAACCGAGAGCGGAGCUGGGAGGUGAGCUGAGCCUGUGGUGCAGACAGAGCAGCGCCGGCAGCACCCACCACACCAGUUUGUCCAGUCCCAUUGUACUCCUGGGCCGCUGGAGCACCCUCUUUCUCUCCCGCCCACUACCGCGACCUGAUGGCUUUUAUCCAUCCCUGCGGCCUGCGCGGGCCAUCGCUCAGCAAUAAGUACACAGGAAGAGCGGCAUUUGCAGGUGUCAAGAUAACCACAUCAUCACUGCUGUUGGCUCUCACAGGUGGCAAUGCAUUAUGAAAAAUGAUCUGCUUGAGCUACUAAUGAAGUACCAAAGCAAAAGCAUGAAGGGGCACUGCCAGCUUAAGGAAAAGACUGUUGAAAUGAGAGUCUUUAAGGCCAACAUCAAAAAUCGUAUCUGUUAUGAUUCCCUUGGAAUGGGACCUGUGUGUGAGUGAGAUGCUGGUGCCUGCGGCAUUUCAGGGGCCUUUAAGGAGAUGAUUAAGGUUGAAUGAGGUAUGAGAAGGCAAAGAGACACCAGAGUCUUCUGUCUGCCAUGUGAGAACACAGUGAGAAGGUGGCCAUCUGCAAGCCAGGAACGGAUCCCUCUCCAGAACCUGACCAGGCUGGCACCUGACCUCAGACUUCUAUUCUCCACAACUGUGAGAAAAUAAAUUUCCAUUGUUUAAACCACCCAGCCUACAGUAUUUUGUUAUGGCAGCCGAAGCAUACAGGCCCUCAAGCAAACUAACUAAAGUAGUAUACCUUAUUAACAUUUUGGUAAAUAUGUAUAAAGAAGAAAUGUUUUAUAAAUUUUUUUAUUUUUAUAGUUUUAUGACUGUGAAUAAAAGCAUCUUUAAAACUUGAGUCAUUUUUAUUGAUCUGUAAUAAACACUCUAAGAAAACUGGUGUUCAUGCUAUGCAGGCCUAGCUUCAAAAGACUUACUCUUGCCUCCUGCCAAUUAGAUUAUUGCUCUGAAAUUUCUCCUGUAACAGAAAAUCCCAUAACUAUCACUCUUCAAGUUCCAACAUAAAUGCUGCUGCUUCUCUUAAACUUUGCAGAUUCCCUGCUCUAGUCUCCCUCUUCUGCACUACCACAGUACUUAAUUUAAACAUGUCCUUUAUUAUAUCUCACCUUGUAAUUACCAUGUCUUGUACAUAUGCCUGCUCCUCCACUAGAGAACACAGAUCUUGAGAGCAGGGGCCAUGUUAUCUUUUUCAGAUUUCUCUAAUGUCCACUGUGAUGUUUUCUCAGUAGUGAGUAUAUAUACUGGUAGAUAUGUGAAAGAAUGAAUGAAUUACUAAAUAAGUGGAUGGAUAAAUGAAGUUAUUGAUUAAUAAUUUGUUUAUUUAUUUACAUUUUGUCUCUCGGGUCUUUUUUAUCAUCCAGGAGAAUUGUCUUUCCACCAUUAUGACUCCCCUUGAGGGCACAUGUAUGAAACAGAAAGUGUUAAUAAAAAACAAAAUGAAUAAAUC